AAUAAAUCGCCACAGUAAACAACUGCAACAGAAACAACCGCUUAGAAAAAGUGUAGUAGGCUAGAAAUAUUUGGCGCGGGAAAAACAUCAUGUGCCUCACAUUUCUAUUAUAAAUUUAUUCUCUUGUUCUCGUUUUUCGAAAUUUAUUCUGAGGACAAUGUAAUGGGGACGAAGUCCCCAUUUGGCGAGGAUAAGGAAUCGAGGCGGCCCAUGCCGCCAAGAUGACGCAAUCCGAGUCCACCGCCGACCCGCCGUCGGAAGCGGCGGUGUCUCGCACGCAAACCUGGGAUCCACUGAUUGCCCGGUUAGUUUGAAACAUAGGAUACGAUCCUUUAGCAAUGUCCGACCGAGCUCUAGCGAGCGUCGGACGGUAUACGUCUGCCCGGGGCGUUACGUUUGCCUGGGGCGAUACGUUUGCCCGGUUAAUUCUUGUUUUGAAAUACAAUACCGCGCCACAAUAUUUAUAGCCUACUACACAUUUUAUAAGCGGUGGUUUCUGUUGCAGUCGUUUUCUGUGGCGAUUUAUUCCGGGAACCGUGUAUUAGAUGGUGAAAGCUAGUCACGCGGAAUGGAGUAGUUCAAUUUCGUAUUUAUUUAGCUUUUUGGAUCUUGUCUUGUCUUGUUUAAGAAACAAAAGAUAAACAAACAGCAAUUCACCCGCAUGGUGGCAUUUUUAGAACGAAAUUCUGACGUAACCAGAGGACGUAAAUUUGUUUAUUUGGAUUCGGCCCAUUGAAACAUGGCGGAGAUCUACUUCCGAUUGUCCUGAAUGAACAGAAAUUUUUUGUUCCAUUUUUAGGAUUAGACUAAGAGAGAGUUGCAACACUAUAAAAUGGCAAUGGAGGCCACUGGCCCAAAUACGAUCAUGAUUGAUUAUGUAUAAUAUUGAUUCGUUGAUAUUUUGAAUAUAAAAUAAUAACUGUAAAGUUUUUCCAACA